rnacentral:lncRNA from 1 species
UGCAUGCCGUAAUGAUCUGUGCUCUUCUCUCCUCAGGACCACGACUUCUUCCAGCACGUGGAGAUGCACUUGAGGUCGGAGCACCCCCCUCUCUGCGGGCGGGACCACCUCAGUUUCCGCUCCUACUACUUCCCAGUGAAGAAUGUGAUCGAUGGGGAUCUGUGCGAGCAGUUCAACUCGAUGGAGCCCAACAAGCAGAAGAACGUGGCCGAGGAGCUGGAUCGGACGCCCCCUGAGGUGUCCAAAAAGCUGGAGGACAUCCGCACGCGCUACGCCUUCUGAGCGGGAGUGGGGCUCGCCGCGCUCCGGGGGUGCUUCCCCGAGCACGCGGGGAGGGAGGAACGUUUGUGGGGUCAUUUUCAUUUUGGUUUUCUUCUUAAAACAGCGCUUCCUUCCCCUCAGUUCAUGUUCCAACCUCACAUGAUCCCACUGAGCAGCAGCCACCAGCUCUCCCCGUGCACCCCCCUGCUCCUUCGAGGGCUCCUGGUGUUCCGGCUGUCCUCUGGGGGAAGCGCUCCAGGAGGAGCAGCAGGCAGGGCCCGGCUCCGGGCCUCGCUGCGUUUCAUAACCCCUUUGGCAGGAGCCGCGGCUCCGCGCCGUGCCCCAGCAGCGCACGCAAUAAAAUAAAAGCCUGGUUUUGGUUUUUAACCGCUCCGACUCCGCCGCCUCUCCUUGGGGGUUUGGGGGGGGCUCUGCGACACCCCGGGGUGCCCCAUGAAGGGGGACAGGGGUUUGGUGGGGGCUCCCCCACCCCGCAGGGCAUUCCCCUUCCUGCCCCCGCUCUCCUGCGGUGCCUUCCUCCCGUACCAGCCUCAUCCUCACCUCGUCACCCUGCCCUUUGCCCCCUUCCCUUUGCACCCUCCCCUGCCUCCUCCCCACGCCUCCAUCUUACGGGGGGGGGGGGCGGGGGCUGCACCCUGGGGCUCCAGCACCCCAUAAAGGCCCCCCCCUUCCCCAGCACCCCACUUUCGGGGCAGGGAGGGCUCCCUGCUUCACCCCGGGGGGGGCUGCGGGCUCCAGCCUCGGUUUGGGACCCCCCCACCGAGCCCCCACUUGGGGGUCCCUUUCCCCGGGGGUCUCCCAGCACCGUGCCGAGGGGGGAACCGCCCCCGGGGUGCCCCCCCGGGGGUCUCAAGGACCCGGUGCCCCCCCCCGGGGCGUCGGGGGAGCGGGGCCGGGCCGGGGGGGGGCAGCUCCCGGCAGCCGCCGCCGCCCUGACUCGGUGCCAGGGGAAUCCCGGCGGCUCCGGCAGCGCCGCCCCGCUCCCAGCGCCGGGGGGGGGGGCCCCGGGGAAACGGGGGGGGAUCUGUGCCGGUCCCCCCCAUCGCCCCGAUCCCUCCCGUUACCGUUUUAGGGGGUCGGGGGGGGGGUCCGGCCCGGGUCCUCUCGGUUUUUGGGCACCCCCAGGGGCUCCGGGGAGGCGGGGAAGGGGGUGCCGGGCUCCGGGGGUUCCGUGCGCCCCCCCGCGCACGGUGCCCGGUGCCCGGUGCCGGUCCCGGUGCCGGCCCCGCCCGCUGCCGGCCCCGCCGCCGCCCCCCCGACCGCCUCCCGGGGAGCCCGGCACGGCCCCGCCGCCACCGGGAGGGACCGGGACGGGGACCGGGACCGGCACCGGGACAGGGACAGGGACAGGGACCGGCACCGGGACCGGCACCGGCAGCGCCAGGUGGGCACCGGGGCGCACCGGGGCGCACUGGGGGGCAUCAGGGGGGCACCGGGGGGGUAGGAGGGGGGCUC